rnacentral:lncRNA from 1 species
AUGGCUUUGGGAAACAGGGUUAGAGCAUAUUUGCUCUCAGGGGGCAGCCUUGCUCUGUUUGGCCCUAUCAGAAAGCCCUGUUCCUGCCCCGGGGAAGCUGCCUGGGGAGAGGUGUUCACCACGGCCCGGCUGACAAGGCCUCUGGUCCUAUCUGCGGUGCUUCACCUUGCUGCUGUCUCUACUGUAGAGCUAUGUGGAGUGGGCUGGAGUUCAAGAUGGAUGCCUGAGAAGGUGUGGUCCCAGCACUAACCACAUGGUUCCAUGUAGACCUUGAAGAAUGGUGAGGAAGGUACAGUGGUGCCAAUGGAGCCCUAGGAAGGAGAUGCAACAAGAAAUGAUGGUCCAGGAGAUGCCGGAGGAGGGUGAGUCUACCCCCAUCCCCACCAGCUUGCCUGCCUACCGCCAAACUGCCUAUUGAUAUUUAUUUGCUUCUUGUUUAUUUGACAGGAUCACAUACAUAUACAUAGCGGCUGGCAUACACAAUUAAUCAGGCGGAGUAUUUCUGAUUUGUGGUUUAACCCUGCCCUGCACUUAACAAGCCUAGGUCCCAGGGCCCCAUGGCUGUCUCACACGGUUCCCUAGCAACCAAAUGAGACAGGGAAAUCUGCAGUUUCAUCACCACAAGAUGCUAGGUCAAUUAAUAUUCAUUAGCAGUGCCUGUGUUUGGCUGCUAGGAGACAUUAUGGAGAAAAAAAUCUUUGUUGCCUGAGUGUGGGAUGGAAGGAGUGUAGGGACCAAUGAAUAUGUAUAUUAUGUACUGAAGAUGUGUUUUCUUAUACUAGCAUGGUCUGUCUGUACAUGUGCAUGCAGAUUAAAAAAAAUUUCAUCCGUAUUUAUAAUUACCCUUCUAAGGUUAUUAUAUGGGAAUAGGUUUCAGAAACAAAAGGAAAGUUCUAUGGGGUGUCUGGGAGGCUCAGUCAGUUAAGUGUCGGACUCUUGAAUUUGGCUCAGAUCAUGAUCUCACAGUUCGUGGGUUCGAGUCUCACAUCAGGCUCUGUGCUGACAGUGUGAAACCUGGUUGGGAUUCUCUCUGAUACCCCCUAAGCCUCAAAAAUAAGCAAAC